UACGUAGGUGGCAAGCGUUGUCCGGAUUUACUGGGCGUAAAGAGCGCGCAGGCGGUUGAUUAAGUCGAAUGUGAAAGCCCCCGGCUCAACUGGGGAGGGUCAUUCGAUACUGAUCGACUUGAAGGCAGGAGAGGGAAGUGGAAUUCCGGGUGUAGUGGUGAAAUGCGUAGAUAUCUGGAGGAACACCGGUGGCGAAGGCGGCAUCCUGGACCGACACUGACACUGAGGAGCGAAAGCCAGGGGAGCAAACGGG
rnacentral:rRNA from 1 species